rnacentral:lncRNA from 1 species
CCUUCACCGAAGAGUCUGCGAGAGCCAGGCCACACGUGGGCGCCUCCGCGUUCUACAAGCUGGAAGCUCCUUCCACUCCUCUCUGGACCUUGGUGUAGAAGAGGUGUCUUCGCACAUCUCAAGGUGCCGCCGCUGGAGUGUUUCUGGUCCUCUGGGUCUCCACUUUCUCUUUUCCAGGGUAGCCAGAGGCUGCUUUUGAACUAGAAAUCCCAGAGCCCUCAGGCAGAUCUGGGUACUGUAAAACAUGUACCACAUUCCCCCUCCGAACCCACAUCCUGCUCUCUAAAAAUAAUAACCACCAUCCCCAAAUGCUCGAGUGCAUAAGACAAUUUGUCGAGGAAGGACCAUUGAGGAGCCCGUGGAGGUGCGCUUCCAGCGUUUUCCGUGUUCUCUUGCAAGAUCUCUAGGCUCCAAAGUGUCACUCCCAUUUAGAGGUGCUGGGAGGUGAAAAGCAUUCCGGCCUCUGGAAGGUUUCCAGAAGAAAAGGAAAGUCCCUGGCCUGUGGAGAACAGUCCAUGUCUUUGCUGCACAAGCAACUGUCUGCCCCUAGAUGUGACUGGACCUUAUAGUCUAAGCUUGCCUUGAUCUGUUUAUCUGAGUCAAAAAUGCAUUACCAAUUAAAGGAGAGACUGGUAUGUCAAAGGAAGGAAGGUGACUGGAGACUGUGAUGAUUUUAAUGACUGCAAUUAUUGGAAGAUUAUUCAACAAGCAUCAUAGGUUUGUUUACUGUACCACUGGGAAACUAUGGGGGGCCUGUUUGGCUUGAGGCUGUACUUUCCUUCCUCACCAACCAUGAUGAGGGAGUCCCAUACAGGAGAGUCAGUUUUCUUCUUUUUAAGAGAAGUUUAAGAGGCUGUUGCCUCAAACAAGGCUAACAGAACCAUCCUUGGAGCCACUGUAAGAUCUUCUUAUUUUCAUCUGAACCUUGGUUAUCCAAGAAGGCCAGAGGAUUCUAGUCAUGAGCCCUCUUCUGGCCAGCACACCAGUUCCCUCAGUUUAAGCACUCCCCAGGCAGCAUGAGGGGAGGCUUCUUCACCUUCCAGCUUUUUCCUCCUUCCUCUAAAGCUCAGAGAAGGAAGACACUCCACCUAUAAGAAGCACACUUCCCAGAGCUCUGGGAAAGUUCCUCUUCCCUUUCUUCAAC